UUACGGUCAAAUCACGCUGAAAACACCGGUUCUCGUUCGAUCACAGAAGUUAAGCAUCGUAGAGCCAGGUCAGUACUUAGAUGGGGACCGCUUGGGAACACCUGGUACUGUAAG
rnacentral:rRNA from 1 species